rnacentral:lncRNA from 1 species
UAUUAUCAUUUCCUUCAACCAUAAAGCCUCUUUUACCCAUUUUGUGAGCAUGACAUACUUAACUUAGAUGAUAGAUAAAAGACACCACUAAUUAUGAACCAAGUUUUCUACCAAUGAUUAUAUAGUGAGAAGACAUACCCAAAAAUUGACUUUCUAGUAUCAAUAUUACUUGCAUAGUCUUAAUCUAUAAACUCUUUUGUAGCCUCUCCACUUUGGGUCACUACAAAAAAAUUGUUAUACAGUGAAGGUUAUUUUGCAAAGUUAUAAACAUCCUCACAAAUUAACAUAAUUUAGGAUGAUUCUAACAAAUUGUUUAAAUGACAAUAAUUGUGGACGUUUUAGAUCUUUUGUAAAGAGGUUUAAAACCUACUCAAAUUAUAAUACAUUUUUUACUUUCAUUUCAUUAUUUUUUACAUCUAUUCCCUCCCAAAAUUUUAUACUUAAACUUUUCUCAAAUUCUGAAAACACUGUCUAAACCCUAAGCGCCAAUUUACUCCUCCCAAAUUUUCCAAUCUCUUGAUUAGUGCAUUCGGGGUUUGUAGACUGUCCAUUUUCUUCCUUCCUCCAUUCGUCCCGCCAAUUUCCCCCCACCUUCAGCCCUCCCAAAUUUCCCCUUCCCUAUCCCUCCCAAAUUUGUAGACUGUUCAUUUUCUUCCUUCCUCCAUUUGUCCUGCCAAUUUCCCCCCACCUUCAGCCCUCCCAAAUUUCCCUUUCCCCAUCCCUCCCAAAUUUCCCAAUCUUGUCAUUGCAUUGUGAGUUUGAAGACUAUGAUUUUUCUUUCUCCUUCAAAUAGUCAUGCAUUUCUCAAAUAUUUCACUACGUUACUUUCGUGUUUCUUCCAUUUCCACCUUCUCCUGGCUAUCUACAUUCUGCUCCCACUGUGGCUCACAGUUUGACCUUCUCCCCAUCGUUGGGUUGAACUUUGGUAAGUUCAUCGGUCAUCUUUCUCAUUCUAGCAGUUUUGAUUAUUUAUUGUUCUUCAUCUCUCACACCUUCUAUUGGUCAUGGGUUGCUUUAGUACAAGUUGCUCUAUUUUCUCAAACGUGUUGCUCCAUUCAUCUCAACAAUUGUGGUUAUGAGCAAAGGUUAACAUGUUUUUCAUCUCUAUAAUUUAUGGUUAUUCUUUUGGUUAGGUUAUUUUGUUGAAAUUUUGUUUUAUUG